CCCUUAGAUGUUCUGGGCCGCACGCGCGCUACACUGAUCAGUGCAACAAGCAUCCGUCCUUGGCCGACAGGCCCGGGCAAUCUUUGAACGCUGAUCGUGAUGGGGAUAGACUUUUGCAAUUUUUGGUCUUCAACGAGGAAUUCCUAGUAAACGCAAGUCAUCAACUUGCAUUGAUUACGUCCCUGCCCUUUGUACACGCCGCCCGUCGCACCUACCGAUUGAAUGGUCCGGUGAAGCCUCCGGAUUGGCGUGCACCCUCGGGUGCUGCCGAGAAGUUGGCUAAACCUUACCAUUUAGAGGAAGGUGAAGUCGUAACA
rnacentral:rRNA from 1 species